rnacentral:lncRNA from 1 species
UUUUCCUCAGCUGAAAACUUAUCUUAUUAAUUUGAUUCCAAUAAAUCUGUUUAAAUUUUUUUAUUUAAAGGCAGAUGUAGGGCCCAAAUUUUGCUCAGCCCAAAAAACAGACCCAAAUCACUAAAAUUAAAAGGCCCCAUUACAAGUCCAAUGACCUAAAUUUUUUCAAAAUAUAGCAAACCCUAGGGUUCCAUUUGCCCACGCUGCAACUCCCACGCUUCAACACCCAGGAACGGAUUCCUAGCUCGCACGUUGCACGAUCGUGCACUCUUCCUCCACGAUUUCACAGCAUCUGCGACUUGAGCAAAGAAAUAGGCAGAAACAGUUUGUAUUUUGGGCUAUAAAGCCUUUGUUUUUUCAUUGUAAAAGGGACGUUUUUUUGAUACAAAAAGAAACACAAAAUCAGUAGAGAACAACUAGAAGAAUAUUUUGAAGGUGAUCAUUUACUGUAAUUUAUUUCUAUUUUUUUUCUUUUUUUUUUCCUUUUUUUGGAUCCAAAACAAAGAUGAAGUAUAAAAGAGAGAGGUCUUACUGGAGUUGUGCUCGUGCCGUCGGUGGCCAUGGCAUGUGGGACCUUUGACAGAGGCGGUGUUUGACGAAAAGGAAAAGAUGAGUGCAUGAGUUGAGAGAGCAUCUAAAAAAUUUUUAAGUUUUUUUUCAAAAAACAAAAGGGUGAAUGUUUUAAGGAAAAGGGGUUUUAAAAAAAGGGAUUUGGGAUUUCUAAAAGUUCUUUAAUGUUUUUUUUUUUAAAAAUAAAGGUUAUGUUUAAUUUUAAUAGCUUUUGGGGAAGGGAAAGAGAUUGCCUGUGCAUGGACAGCCUGGUUCUGCGCAUGUUCCUUUUAAAUGGGUAAUUUCGUGGCCAGUCCUUCCUAUUUUGAGCUACCUUUAAUCUGUCCCUAUUAUGUUUCUUUUAUUUUUCUCUAGAAGUUUGCGCGUUGUUUCAGUUUGGUCCGCGCCUGGGUAGUGUUUUUGGUGAUUUGGGUCAUUUUUAGUUUUGAUCCUCGAGCAUUUGUGCGCGUCUUAUUUCGAUUCACAAUUUUGUUUAAAUAAUUAAUUUUGUUUAUAAAUAAUCCUUUUGGUUUUGUUGUGCUGAAGUUUUUUUUUCCCCUUUAAAAAUAAGAGCAUAUUAUUUUAGCAUAUAAUUUUGUAUUGUUUUGAUGAUUUCAUUGUUUUUUUUUUCUAUGUGCAUAUUUGUUUUUUUCCAAACACUUUCGUAUAUUAUCAUUACUUUUGUUUAUAUAUAUAUUAUUUAUAUUAGGUUUAUU